ACGGCUCAGUAACACGUGGAUAACCUACCCUCAGAUCUGGGAUAACUCCGGGAAACUGGAGAUAAUACCGGAUAAUCCGUGAACGCUGGAAUGCCUUACGGUUGAAAGCUUUAGCGUCUGAGGAUGGGUCUGCGGCCGAUUAGGUAGUUGCUGGGGUAACGUCCCAACAAGCCGAUAAUCGGUACGGGUUGUGAGAGCAAGAGCCCGGAGAUGGAUUCUGAGACACGAAUCCAGGUCCUACGGGGCGCAGCAGGCGCGAAAACUUUACACUGCGCGAAAGCGCGAUAAGGGGACCUCGAGUGCGUGCGCAAUGCGUACGCUUUUCAGAUGCCUAAAAAGCAUCUGGAAUAAGGGCCGGGCAAGACCGGUGCCAGCCGCCGCGGUAACACCGGCGGCUCAAGUGGUGGCCGCUAUUAUUGGGCUUAAAGGGUCCGUAGCCGGACCGGUUAGUCCCUUGGGAAAUCUUACGGCUUAACCGUAAGGCUGCCGAUGGAUACUGCUGGUCUUGGGACCGGGAGAGGCAAGAGGUACCUCAGGGGUAGGAGUGAAAUCCUGUAAUCCUUGAGGGACCGCCAGUGGCGAAGGCGUCUUGCUAGAACGGGUCCGACGGUGAGGGACGAAAGCUAGGGGUACGAACCGGAUUAGAUACCCGGGUAGUCCUAGCCGUAAACGAUGCGAGCUAGGUGUCACGUGGAUUGCGAAUCCAUGUGGUGCCGAAGGGAAACCGUGAAGCUCGCCGCCUGGGAAGUACGGCCGCAAGGCUGAAACUUAAAGGAAUUGGCGGGGGAGCAC
rnacentral:rRNA from 1 species